CCUGCAUGUAUCUGCAGAGAUGCAAGCGCUACGACUUGGUGAGAUGACACCUGAUAGUAGGAGAAGAACAUUAAUGCUGGGGAGUGAGGAGAUUAAUGCACAGACCUUUCAACCAGCUCAGGGAAGGCACAACUGUGUCCAUGCUCUGCAAAAAGCAAGUUCAGACAUGUAUUUGCCCACCGGUGGAGAGAACUGCUCAUGGAAAGACAGCCCUUCAUCACCGUUGGCAAAAUGCUGAUUUUUUUUCAUGUCAUGUUGCUUCCGUGAAACACCACCAGGAAAUAAAACAGCGAGUGCCUUUAGAAAUCCAUGUAUAAAUUUUAGUAAUAGGUCUAAUUACAACAAAUGGGCACUGAUCUGAGUCUUGCAUGCAAAAUCGAUAUAUCUUUUCAGAUGUACCUUUGUUCUCUGCAGGAAUCUGACUGUUUAAAUGAAAGAAAAGAAAUAUAUAAGCAA